GGAGGUUGGCGGCGGACGUACCGCUCGCCAACCGGGUCAGGUCCGGAAGGAAGCAGCCCCAACGAGAUCGGAACGGGUUGCCCGUCCAGCCUCCCAC
rnacentral:SRP_RNA from 3 species